rnacentral:rRNA from 1 species
AUUGAACGCUGGCGGCAGGCCUAACACAUGCAAGUCGAGCGGGGUUUUCGGACCUAGCGGCGGACGGGUGAGUAAUGCGUAGGAAGCUACCCGAUAGAGGGGGAUACCAGUUGGAAACGACUGUUAAUACCGCAUAAUGUCUACGGACCAAAGUGUGGGACCUUCGGGCCACAUGCUAUCGGAUGAGCCUACGUCGGAUUAGCUAGUUGGUGGGGUAAAGGCCUACCAAGGCGACGAUCUGUAGCGGGUCUGAGAGGAUGAUCCGCCACACUGGGACUGAGACACGGCCCAGACUCCUACGGGAGGCAGCAGUGGGGAAUAUUGGACAAUGGGCGGAAGCCUGAUCCAGCCAUGCCGCGUGUGUGAAGAAGGCCUUUUGGUUGUAAAGCACUUUAAGCGAGGAGGAGGCUACUUAGAUUAAUACUCUAGGAUAGUGGACGUUACUCGCAGAAUAAGCACCGGCUAACUCUGUGCCAGCAGCCGCCGUAAUAC